GGGAAGAAUACUGGGAAACCAAUGGUACUGGAUGUGCUGGAAAGACUCAAGGAGAAAUAGGGAGGGCAAGUGGAGCUGUUUGAUUGGCAUGGGAGAGAACACCAGGAGGCUGACCGUACUGUCUGGACUAAGCUUUUAGGUUGCUUGUGAAGUCGGAGCAAAUACCAAGAAGGCGUUGUGGCAAGAUGGAUGUGAGGAAGGACCAAUCUCAUCUGACGCUCAACCAGACCCCUGAAGCUCAUGUAGAGAAGUCCCAUGCUCCAGACAUCAUUGGAUCUUGGAGUUUGAGAAACAGAGAACAACUGAAGAAGAGAAAAGCUGAGGCACAGGGGAGGCAGACGUCACAAUGGCAACUUGGAGAACAGAAAAAACGCAAGUAUCAGAGAACAGGAAAAGGUAAUCGAAGAGGCCGAAAGAGACAAGGGAAUGUGGAACAAAAGGCAGAGUCUUGGUCACAAACAGAAAACGAAAGGGUACAGGAGGUAUUGGUACCUGCUGAGGAAGAAACUGAGUACUCUGGAAACACUGCAACUCAAGCCCUUCCCUUGAGAGCAUCCCCCACAAAAGCUGUGCCUACAGAACACUGUUCUGAAGUACCCCAAGAAAGCUUGCAGUGCCAAGAAAUAACUAUACAGAACCAUUCUCAAACACACCAACGAAGGGACAAAGCUGAAGCUCUCUCUCCUACCACGUGCCAAGAAAUAGGAGUACUUCAAUAUUCUCCUAAGAUGUGCCAAGAUAUGGCUGAACCUGAGGCACGCUCACCUAAAAUGUGCCAGGAGACAGCUGUGCCCCAAACCUAUUCUCCCAAAGCACACGAAGAUAUGGCUGAAUAUGAGGCACUUUCGCCUAAAAUGUGCCGGGAAACACCUGUGCCACAAUACCAUUCUUCCAAAAUACCCCAAGAUAUGACCGGACCUGAGGCGUUAGCUCCUGAUAUGUGCCAAGAAACAACUGUGUCCCAAAACCAUUCUUCCAAAGUACCCCAGGAUAUGGCUGGACCUGAGGCGCUCUCUCUUAAAAUGUGCCAGGAACCAACUGUGCUUCAAGAACAUACUUUGAAAAUAUGCCAAGAUGUGGCCAGACCUGACGUCCUCUCUUCUAAAACACAUCAAGAGAUGACUGUUCCCAAAGCCCUUCCCUGUAUAACACCUGGAGAUGCUGCUGGCCCAGAAGGAUGCUCCCCCAAAACACUCCCCCAGUCAGAUGUAACCCCCAUGUCAGUCACACCAGGAAAAAAUACUUCCCACCCAGAUCUGGGAACGGCUGUGGCUGAAGGCUGCUUUUCUGAAGCCGGAGAAUGCAUUGUAUCUGAAGACAUUUCUACAAAAACACACCAAG
rnacentral:lncRNA from 1 species